rnacentral:rRNA from 1 species
AUUGAACGCUGGCGGCAGGCCUAACACAUGCACGUCGAGCGGAUGAAGGGAGCUUGCUCCUGGAUUCAGCGGCGGACGGGUGAGUAAUGCCUAGGAAUCUGCCUGGUAGUGGGGGAUAACGUCCGGAAACGGGCGCUAAUACCGCAUACGUCCUGAGGGAGAAAGUGGGGGAUCUUCGGACCUCACGCUAUCAGAUGAGCCUAGGUCGGAUUAGCUAGUUGGUGGGGUAAAGGCCUACCAAGGCGACGAUCCGUAACUGGUCUGAGAGGAUGAUCAGUCACACUGGAACUGAGACACGGUCCAGACUCCUACGAGAGGCAGCAGUGGGGAAUAUUAGACAAUGGGCGAAAGCCUGAUCCAGCCAUGCCGCGUGUGUGAAGAAGGUCUUCGGAUUGUAAAGCACUUUAAGUUGGGAGGAAGGGCAGUAAGUUAAUACCUUGCUGUUUUGACGUUACCAACAGAAUAAGCACCGGCUAACUUCGUG